rnacentral:rRNA from 1 species
GAUGAACGCUAGCGGCAGGCCUAAUACAUGCAAGUCGGACGGGAUUUGGGAGCUUGCUCCCAAUGAGAGUGGCGCACGGGUGCGUAACACGUAUGUAACCUACCUUAAUCAGGGGGAUAGCCUCUUGAAAGAGAGAUUAACACCGCAUAACAUCAUGAGAUAGCAUUAUUUUAUGAUCAAAUAUUUAUAGGAUUACGAUGGGCAUGCGGGACAUUAGCUAGUUGGCGGGGUAACGGCCAACCAAGGUGACGAUGUCUAGGGGAACAGAGAGGAUCGCCCCCCACACGAGGACUGAGACACGGACCAGACUACUACGGGAGGCAGCAGUAAGUAAUAUUGGUCAAUGGGCCCAAGCCUGAACCAGCCAUGCCGCGUGCAGGAAGACGGCCCUACGGGUUGUAAACUGCUUUUGUACCGGAAUAAACCUUGAUAUGUAUAUCAAGCUGAAUGUACGGUAAGAAUAAGGAUCGGCUAACUCCGUGCCAGCCGCCGCUGUAAGAC